CUCUAUGGCUGCUGACCUCUCUCGUGGUGGUGUGAACAUCUCACAGCUAUUCUCAGGCAGUUACGAGCAGUUUUUUCAAACCGUUGUUUGUGGAUUUCGGAGGAAUCUGAAAUGUGCCGUGACAGGUGUUUUGCAAGUAAUCAAUGAGAGAUUGUGCUGUGCUGUGCGCUGCUCUCUGUGUGUUCCUGUGAGCGUGCGUGAGCAUGUUCUCCCAGCCCACCACUCCUCUGAGCGGCUGACUGACAGUGAUCCCGGCUGACUGAAUAGCGCUCUUAUGAGGCUGCAUUCUUCCAUCUCUCAAUGGAAUGUUUACAGAAUGGUUUACAAGCCCACCGAUCCCUGCUCUCUCCCCCAGUCCUAAGCCUCUUGCGCCA
rnacentral:lncRNA from 1 species